rnacentral:rRNA from 1 species
AUAAACCACAUUAGUGGUGCGUUUAUUUGACUAAACCGUUAAAAUAUGGUUGACUCAAAAUAUCCUUGCUGAUUUUAUAACUAAAACGUACCGUAUGUGUAUCUGGUUUAUCAACUUUCGAUGGUAGGGUAUUGGCUUACCAUGGUUGUGACGGAUAACGGAGAAUUAGGGUUCGACUCCGGAGAGGGAGCCUGAGAAACGGCUACCACAUCCAAGGAAGGCAGCAGGCGCGAAAAUUACCCAAUUUUAGUUAAAAGAGGUAGUGACGAAAAAUGACAACCAAGUAUUAUUUUUAAUAUUUGGAUUGAAAAUCUUCAAGUUUAAAUAACUUGUUGGUAAAGGAAAGGGCAAGUCUGGUGCCAGCAGCCGCGGUAAUACCAGCUUUCCAAGUGCAUAAAAUGAUUGUUGUGGUUAAAAAGCUCGUAGUUGGAUUAUAAAGAUUGUAUAAUGAGCAUCUUGGAUGUUUUUUCAUUAACAUCUUAUUUAUUUUAAUAUAUUAGUAAUAAUAUA